rnacentral:rRNA from 1 species
AUAGAUACCCGGGUAGUCCACGCCGUAAACGAUGUCGACUUGGAGGUUGUUCCCUUGAGGAGUGGCUUCCGGAGCUAACGCGUUAAGUCGACCGCCUGGGGAGUACGGCCGCAAGGUUAAACUCAAAUGAAUUGACGGGGCCCGCACAAGCGGUGGAGCAUGUGGUUUAAUUCGAUGCAACGCGAAGAACCUUACCUACUCUUGACAUCCAGAGAACUUUCCAGAGAUGGAUUGGUGCCUUCGGGAACUCUGAGACAGGUGCUGCAUGGCUGUCGUCAGCUCGUGUUGUGAAAUGUUGGGUUAAGUCCCGCAACGAGCGCAACCCUUAUCCUUUGUUGCCAGCGGUCCGCCGGGAACUCAAGGAGACUGCCAGUGAUAAACUGGAGAAGUGGGGAUGACGUCAAGUCAUCAUGGCCCUUACGAGUAGGGCUACACACGUGCUACAAUGGCGUAUCAAAGNGAAGCGACCUCGCGAGAGCAAGCGGACCUCAUAAAGUCGUCGUAGUCCGGAUUGGAGUCUGCAACUCGACUCC